AGUGAACGCUGGCGGUAGGCCUAACACAUGCAAGUCGAACGGCAGCACAGUAAGAGCUUGCUCUUACGGGUGGCGAGUGGCGGACGGGUGAGGAAUACAUCGGAAUCUACUUUUUCGUGGGGGAUCACGUAGGGAAACUUACGCUAAUACCGCAUACGACCUACGGGUGAAAGCAGGGGAUCUUCUGACCUUGCGCGAUUGAAUGAGCCGAUGUCGGAUUAGCUAGUUGGCGGGGUAAAGGCCCACCAAGGCGGCGAUCCGUAGCUGGUCUGAGAGGAUGAUCAGCCACACUGGAACUGAGACACGGUCCAGACUCCUACGGGAGGCAGCAGUGGGGAAUAUUGGACAAUGGGGGCAAGCCUGAUCCAGCCAUACCGCGUGGGUGAAGAAGGCCUUCGGGUUGUAAAGCCCUUUUGUUGGGAAAGAAAAGCAGCAGGUUAAUACCCCGCUGUUCUGACGGUACCCAAAGAAUAAGCACCGGCUAACUUCGUG
rnacentral:rRNA from 1 species